rnacentral:rRNA from 1 species
GCCAGCAGCCCUAUCACCCUGUAACUCCCAGCUGGCAGCCCCACUGGAGCUCAGCAGGUGUGAGCCUGGUCAGUACCUGGAUGGGAGACUCCUGGGAAAGCUCAGGUUGCUGCUGGAA